GAGAAUUGCUUGAACCUGGGAGGUGGAGGUUGCAGUGAGCUGAGAUCACGCCACUGCACUCCAGCCUGGGGGAUAGAGCGAGACCCUGUCUC
rnacentral:miRNA from 1 species